UACGGAGGGUGCAAACGUUGCUCGGAAUUAUUGGGCGUAAAGCGCACGUAGGCGGCCCGGUAAGUCGGAUGUGAAAUCCCUCGGCUCAACCGAGGAAGUGCAUUCGAAACUACCGGGCUUGAAUAUGGAAGAGGGUCGCGGAAUUCCCGGUGUAGAGGUGAAAUUCGUAGAUAUCGGGAGGAACACCAGUGGCGAAGGCGGCGACCUGGGCCAAUAUUGACGCUGAGGUGCGAAAGCGUGGGGAGCAAACAGG
rnacentral:rRNA from 1 species